AAGAAUCUCAGCUCCAGCUGGGAGGACCCUCAGUGGCUCAGCCGUGGUGGCAUCUACCCUCCUUGUUUAAAGAAGGAAUCUGAGAUGUACUUCUGGACUCACAGGCCUGGGCCCCACCCAGCACAGAUCUCUGCUGAGCAAUCUUGUCUCCGCUCUGUUCCUGCCCUUUGCCCAGCCCUGGGCCUCCAAUCUGCAUUGAUUACCUGGUCUGACCUCUCUCACCAUCACUAGGUACUUAAUAAAUAUUUGCUGUUGAUGAUAGCAAUGACCUUGAGACUGAUGAACAGUCUGGCCAAGAGGAUCCUUGAUGUGGAAGAUAGCAAAAGCCUUUGGGGUCAGGCAGAUUUGGAUUCUAAUACCAGCCAGUUCUGCUUGCUGUGUCUGAGCCUCAGUUUACUCAUCUGUGAAGAGGAGGUAGCAAGAAUGAAAAUGCCUGCCUUGUGGUUUGUUGUAAGGACAGACACUGCCAACGUAGAGGGCCCAGCAGCUCACAGACCAGUUGCUCUGAGAGCAGACCGCUCUUGCCCUGAUGGUAGGGAACUAUUUUUGUGCAUGACAAGUGGGACGUUAGGAAGGAAGGCAACUGUCAGGCUUCUGAGAAGGACCCUACACAAGGGAGUUUCCUCCCAGGGCAGGUGAAUGGAGAGGGUGGCAGAAGCCUAUGGGAAGGGGUCACAGGGAUCAGCUAGAGAGUGCCACCACCCUUCCUGGGGAAUACAGAGCAAGGUCCCUGGUGGGAGUUUUCCUGGGAAGCCAAAGAAGUGCUCCGUGAAGACAGAAUCAACAUUUGGGUACCUUCAGUACCCAGAGGCAGCAAUGCCAACUACAACCACACUGGAAGAAGAAGACCUUCUCCGCAUAGAUUUUCUGAUCUGGCACCAGCCCUGGGGAACCAGCAUGGUGGGGAAAUAAUGAAGCUGGAAUACAACCACUUACAGACUUCACAACCUCCUCCUGUAGAUACCAAAGGGAUUUUAGGAUCACAUUUUAUUUCUCACCUGAGCAAGAAAAGCUACAGGAGCAUCUCAAGCAGAGGGCAGGAGUCUCCAGAGGAGUUCAAGGGGCUCUGGCAAGAAAAAUCAAGGGGCUGCGUUCAAGAACUGGCUCCCUUGGCGAUUGUAUUACGAAGCCCAUGUGUGCUGGAUGCUGAUGAAAUUGCUGCCAAAUGCCUGUGUGGCCUUGGCAAGGCCCUUUAUUUCUCUGGGUCUCCGUUUCUCUAGCUGUGAAAUGACUGUUCUAAAAGAGCCCUGCCGGACUUUGGCAGUCUGUAAGAAGACCUAAGUUCUUCUCUCAGUUCCAAGCAGGAAAAUUGAACGUACCCUGAGCCCAGAGCCUGCAACAAACUCUGGGCAGCCUCAGGAAGUCAGGCAGUGAAGUCCGAAAAAUGAUCUCUUCUGUAUAGGGAGAAAAUAAAAGUUUAAAAAUUUGUAGUUCG
rnacentral:sRNA from 1 species